UACGUAGGGGGCAAGCGUUGUCCGGAUUUAUUGGGCGUAAAGAGCUCGUAGGUGGUUCGGUAAGUCGGAUGUGAAAUCUCCAGGCUCAACCUGGAGGGGUCAUUCGAUACUGCCGUGACUAGAGUUCGGUAGGGGAGUGUGGAAUUCCUGGUGGAGCGGUGAAAUGCGUAGAUAUCUGGAGGAACACCGGUGGCGAAGGCGGCAUCCUGGACCGGCAUUGACGCUGAGGCGCGAGAGCCAGGGGAGCAAACGGG
rnacentral:rRNA from 1 species